rnacentral:rRNA from 1 species
CGAACGAGUUUAGGCUCGUGGCGUACGGCUCAGUAACACGUGGAUAACCUACCCUUAGGACUGGGAUAACCCUGGGAAACUGGGGAUAAUACUAGAUAGGCAAUUUUUCCCUGGAAUGGUUUUUUGAUUAAAUGUUUUUUCGCCUAAGGAUGGGUCUGCGGCCGAUUAGGUAGUUGGUUAGGUAACGGCUUACCAAGCCAUUGAUCGGUACGGGUUGUGAGAGCAAGAGCCCGGAGAUGGAACCUGAGACAAGGUUCCAGGCCCUACGGGGUGCAGCAGGCGCGAAACCUCCGCAAUGUGAGAAAUCGCGGCGGGGGGAUCCCAAGUGCCAUUCUUAACGGGAUGGCUUUUCAUUAGUGUGAA